AGUGAACGCUGGCGGCGUGCUUAACACAUGCAAGUCGAACGAGAACGGAUUAUAGCUUGCUAUAAUUGUCAGCUAAGUGGCGCACGGGUGAGUAAUGUAUAGGUAAUAUGCCUCUUACUAAGGGAUAACAAAUGGAAACGUUUUCUAAUACCUUAUACUCCUUAUUAACAUAAGUUAAUAAAGGAAAGAUUUAUUGGUAAGAGAUUAGCCUGUAUUGUAUCAGUUAGUUGGUGGGGUAAUGGCUUACCAAGACUAUGACACAUAACUGGUUUGAGAGGAUGAUCAGUCACACUGGAACUGAGACACGGUCCAGACUCCUACGGGAGGCAGCAGUGGGGAAUAUUGCACAAUGGACGAAAGUCUGAUGCAGCAACGCCGCGUGGAGGAUGACACAUUUCGGUGCGUAAACUCCUUUUAUAUGAGAAGAUAAUGACGGUAUUAUAUGAAUAAGCACCGGCUAACUCCGUGCCAGCAGCCGCCGUAA
rnacentral:rRNA from 1 species